CAAAUCUGGAGAGCAGGCGCGGCUGGACCGCGCCCACCGAAGGGGCAGCGUGCCAAGCGGCAUGUAAUCUCUCAGGUACCAAGGACAGAUGGG
rnacentral:ncRNA from 1 species